ensembl:lncRNA
UUUAUAGACAGGAGAACUGAGGCUUGGGGGGGGGGCAUAACUUCCGGAAGGGCACAAAGCUAAAAAGUGGUAGGUGCGGAAUUUGAACCCAGGUCUUUGAGAUGCCCCAGUCCCUCCUCUCACAAGAAAGCACCUGAGCUUCCCACUUUCUGAUUGACGUGGCAGGGUUGGUUGGUUACAUCCGAAUCACCUGGGAGCUUUAAACUUCCUAUUGCUGGGCCCACCUGGUGAUUCUGAUUAAGCCGUUUUAGAGCGGAGCCCCUGAAUCUCCUUGACUCCAUCCUACCCGGAAGAGCAGAUAUCCCGUAAGUGCCAAGUUUCUUCCGCUGUCUGCAGCUGACCGUGAUGUCUUCUAGCUGGCAGCCCACCCUCUCCCACAGACCCCCAGCCAAAUCCCCAAGGCCUCAGUGUCACCCGAGUUCCAGGAUGGCAGAAGCCAAGGACUCUGCCAUACCAUCUUUUUUGGCUUCCAGUUUCUCUGCUGCCAAGAAACGUGAAUUGGAGAUUGUAAAAUGAAGAUGUGCUGAUGUGCCACUCCCAACAAUGACAGUGGACCUGCCGUCUUGCUCCCAGCUCCCCGUCUAUACUUCCAUCUUCUCUGUUGGAAGGUACAGGAACCAUCGAUUUGCUCAGCUAUUUGUUAAAAAUGAAAGAAUGACUUUAUUCCGGAAUCUGUGCACAGCUCCUUUAAGAAUGAGAAGAAGACAGCAGAGGAGCAAGUGUGGCCAAAGGGCUGUUAGCUGGACCAUCUCCUUCUGCGGCAUCUGGUCUGAGCUCCCCUCCGCCUGUGGGACCCACCUGUCACUCUCUGAGGAUUCUCUGAAGUCAGAUCCACCUUUAGGUUCUGCCCUUUUCCCUGAGCUCGUCCUUGGUCUUUGCUCUGUUGACUUGCGCCUCUUUGACCGCAGACACGUGCAGGCCUCUGCCCUGGCCCAUCUCUCCUGCAGUCCUGAUCUGGACAACUGUUGGCUCCACUCUGUCCCCUGCUUCUGUCUGAGCCAGUGCUUGUUAACAGGUCUUUCGUGUGGCUCCUUCUUUCAUAUUUUAUGGCACUCCUUUCCUGAACUUGGCACCAAGUCCCUCUGGAACUGUCCUGGGAGAUAAUACAAUGUCACUGCUAAGGGCAACAACCGAUUGUCCCUCUUCUUCAAUGAUCUACCAGUGUCCGCGAGCUGAACUCUCUCUCCGCUGGGGGAAGUCAAUGGAGGUCACUGCCCGAGAGAUUGAGGGUCAGUCUUUGUCUGCCUUCUUGACAGCUCCAAAAGUCUCAUGUUUCUGAUGAGAUCUGCUGAAGCUUUAUGGAGAGAAAAACCCAAGUGGUUCAAGCCGGCGUGCCUGGAUUCCCCUGGAAACAGCAGGAAUGCCCUUUCUGGGGGCUGUUAUUUGUUAAAAUCGGUUACAGUGCAUUCCAGGAGAGACGUUCCAAAAAAUGCAGGAGCAAUGACAGCCUUGCCGGAAUAGGAGCGAGAACAUGGAACGUGGAGUCAGUCAACCCAAGUUUCAAUGGGCAGAGGCAGCUCCUCACUUUCCAAAUGAACAACCUUGUGCAAGUCAUCAAAACUCCCCGAGCCUUCGCUUCUUCAUCUAUAAAAUGAGGAUGAAAAGAAGACCUUUCUGAUGGUGCUGGUUUGAAGAUCAAAUAAAAUAAUGAAUGUGAAAGUGUAUUGUGAAAUGUCAGGCGCUUUUUAAUGUUAACUAUUAAUAGUAAUGUGUAUUAUUAUUAGUCUAUGAUUCCACUGAACACUUUAGCAACAAAGAACAGAAACUCUGACUCAGACUGGCUUAACAACAGGGAAACUUAUUAUCUCCUGUAACAGGAGAUUCAAAGGUAGAUGAGGCUUCAGGGCUGGUGGGCUCAGGUCUCAGGUGCGUCUUCAGCGCCCAGGUUCUUUUUCUCUCCCUCUUCGGCCAUCCUGGGUUAUCAGCUUUAUCUUCAGCCUGGUCUAAGAUGGCUUAGCAAAUUCAGGCAUCACCGGUAGACACAGCACUA